rnacentral:pre_miRNA from 1 species
AAGAUACUCCCUCCGUUCGGAAUUACUUGUCACAAAAAUGGAUGUAUCUACAACUAAAAUACAUCUAGAUACAUUCAUUUCUUGGACGAGUAAUUUCGAACGGAGGGAGUAGAAG